rnacentral:rRNA from 1 species
CGAGUGAAGCGGGAAAAGCUCAAAUUUAAAAUCUGGCGUGCCUCCGGUCGCCCGAGUUGUAGUCUGGAGAAGCGUCUUCCGUGCCGGACCGUGUACAAGUCCCUUGGAACAGGGCGUCAUAGAGGGUGAGAAUCCCGUCUUUGACACGGACUACCGGUGCUCUGUGAUGCGCUCUCAAAGAGUCGAGUUGUUUGGGAAUGCAGCUCAAAAUGGGUGGUAAAUUCCAUCUAAAGCUAAAUACAGGCGAGAGACCGAUAGCGAACAAGUACCGUGAGGGAAAGAUGAAAAGCACUUUGGAAAGAGAGUUAAACAGUACGUGAAAUUGCUGAAAGGGAAACGCUUGAAGUCAGUCGCGUCUGCCGGGACUCAGCCUUGCUUCUGCUUGGUGCACUUCUCGGUUGACGGGCCAGCAUCGAUUUUGGCCGCCGGAAAAAGGCGGAGGGAAUGUGGCACCUCCGGGUGUGUUAUAGCCCUCCGUUGUAUACGGCGGCCGGGAUCGAGGACCGCAGCACGCCUUCUGGCCGGGGUUCGCCCACGUACGUGCUUAGGAUGCUGGCGUAAUGGCUUUAAGCGACCCGUCUUGAAACACGGACCAAGGAGUCUAACAUGCCUGCGAGUGUUUGGGUGGAAAACCCGAGCGCGUAAUGAAAGUGAUAGUUGAGACCUCUGUCGUGGAGGGCAUCGACGCCCGGACUUGAUCUACGGAGACGGUUCCGCGGUAGAGCAUGUAUGUUGGGACCCGAAAGAUGGUGAACUAUGCCUGAAUAGGGUGAAGCCAGAGGAAACUCUGGUGGAGGCUCGUAGCGAUUCUGACGUGCAAAUCGAUCGUCAAAUUUGGGUAUANNNNCGAAAGUCUAAU